rnacentral:lncRNA from 1 species
UGUUGGUUGUGGUUUUUUAAAGAAAUUAUAUUUUUUAAUAUCUAGUGUCUCUGUGCACCUGGCUGGACCGGAGAAUUUUGUCAAGUUGCUGAAAAUGCAUGUUUAAUUUACCCAAAGAGUUGUACUAAUGGAGCAACUUGCGUUGAUUUGAGCCACCUGGGAGAGCAACCUUUGUUUCAGUGUUUGUGUCCUCAUGGUUUCACAGGAGAAUUCUGCAAGGUGCAAAUUGAUAACUGCAAUUCCAACCCAUGUGAAAAUGGAGGAACAUGUGUUACCUAUGAAGACCAUUUUAAGUGCAUUUGCCCCAUGGGUUUUGAAGGUGAAAGAUGUGAACUGGAUAUUGACGUCUGCCUAUUCUACAAUAUAAGCUGUGCCCCAGGAGCACUGUGCAUGAAUAAAUCUCAUGGAUUUAAUUACACGUGUUUAUCACCAUGUAUUGGAAACACAGAGGUAUGCGCAAAUGGAGGUAGCUGUUUCUAUGAUGAGGACAACCAGAGAUCUCACUGUGUUUGUGCUCUUGGGUGGACAGGACAAACAUGCCUGGAGAAUAUUAAUGACUGUGAGAUAAACCAGUGCCAACAUGGAGCCACAUGUGAAGAUGAAGUGAAUAAAUACAGUCCAUAUCAAAAAGUGAAGAAAAUUUUAUUAGAAGAACAAUACUGUGCUUACGUUAAAAAUCCACUAGUAUUUAUCAUGAAAUUAGUAGGUCUGAAGACUUGCAGUAGAACAAGAACUUCUGAAUUUAACUCACAAAUCCAUACUCAAGCUGUAAUGAAACUCUGCAAGAUCAUUUGA